rnacentral:misc_RNA from 1 species
AAGUCGUAACAAGGUUUCCGUAGGUGAACCUGCGGAAGGAUCAUUAUUGAAUGAACUUAGAGUCGGUUGUCGCUGGCUGUCUUUGGCAGCAUGUGCACGCCUUCUCUAUUCAUCCACACACCCCUGUGCACUUGUGAGACUGGAGGCCGUAAAAAGCCUUCAGUCUGCUAAAUUCAUAUACAAACUCAUUUAAUUGAACUGAAUGUACUUGAUGUAACGCAUCAUUAAACUAAGUUUCAACAACGGAUCUCUUGGCUCUC